rnacentral:rRNA from 1 species
UACGGGGGGGGCAAGCGUUGUUCGGAAUUACUGGGCGUAAAGGGCUCGUAGGCGGCCAACUAAGUCGGAUGUGAAAUCCCCAGGCUUAACCUGGGAACUGCAUCCGAUACUGGAUGGCUUGAAUCCGGGAGAGGGAUGCAGAAUUCCAGGUGUAGCGGUGAAAUGCGUAGAUAUCUGGAGGAAUACCGGUGGCGAAGGCGGCAUCCUGGACCGGCAUUGACGCUGAGGAGCGAAAGCUAGGGGAGCAAACGGA